AGCGAACGUUUGCGGCGGGCCUAACACAUGCAAGUCGAACGCACUAGCAAUAGUGAGUGGCGCACGGGUGCGUAACACGUGGGUAAUCAACCCUUCAGCUUGGGAUAACGACUUGAAAGGGUCGCUAAUACCGGAUACGGCGCGGGAGGCUUCGGCUUCUCACGAGAAAGCCUCGCAAGGGGCACUGAAGGACGAGCCUGCGGCCCAUCAGCUAGUUGGUGAGGUAAGAGCUCACCAAGGCGAAGACGGGUAGCUGGUCUGAGAGGAUGAUCAGCCACACUGGAACUGAGACACGGUCCAGACUCCUACGGGAGGCAGCAGUGGGGAAUAUUGCGCAAUGGGCGAAAGCCUGACGCAGCCACGCCGCGUGAGCGAUGAAGGCCUUCGGGUCGUAAAGCUCUGUGGGAGAGACGAAGAAAGACCCGUGAAGAGCGGGCCGUUGA
rnacentral:rRNA from 1 species